rnacentral:rRNA from 1 species
GAUCCUGGCUCAGGACGAACGCUGGCGGCGUGCUUAACACAUGCAAGUCGAACGGGCGUAGCAAUACGCCAGUGGCGGACGGGUGAGUAACGCGUGAGCAAUCUGCCUCUGUCAGGGGGAUAACACUUAGAAAUAGGUGCUAAUACCGCAUGAGACCACACCUCGGCAUCGGGGAGGGGUAAAAAGAUUAUAUCGGACAGAGAUGAGCUCGCGUCCCAUUAGGUAGUUGGUGAGGUAACCGG